GUAGGUGGCAAGCGUUGUCCGGAAUUAUUGGGCGUAAAGCGCGCGCAGGCGGUUCUUUAAGUCUGAUGUGAAAGCCCACGGCUCAGCCGUGGAGGGUCAUUGGAAACUGGAGAACUUGAGUACAGAAGAGGAAAGCGGAAUUCCACGUGUAGCGGUGAAAUGCGUAGAGAUGUGGAGGAACACCAGUGGCGAAGGCGGCUUUCUGGUCUGUAACUGACGCUGAGGCGCGAAAGCGUGGGGAGCAAACAGGAUUAGAUACCCUGGUAGUCCACGCCGUAAACGAUGAGUGCUAAGUGUUAGGGGGUUUCCGCCCCCCUUAGUGCUGCAGCUAACGCAUUAAGCACUCCGCCUGGGAGUACGGCCGCAAGGCUG
rnacentral:rRNA from 1 species